CAAAGUAGACCUGACUGAAGAGAAGUGUCAACAAUGUAAGGCCAAUACAGACUAUACUGUGGUCAGACUGUGGUUGUACUGAGCAGCUUCCAGGUAUGAUUGUGUAACUGUGUGAAUGUGAUCAGGAUGUUCCUCUUAAAAGAGAGCAUUGCUCCUAAAGAGGAAGAAAAAAAGAUGAAGAAUGAUAAACAAAAACAGAUUAUUUGAUAAGUAUUCUGUCCCUCCCCCUAUACCUGCUGUUGCUUCAUAUCUGAUGUGUCAAAUUCUGUUUCUCACACUGUGUUUUGGACUUUACCUGGCAGACGAGUGCAGACAAGUAAUAACAGAUACAGCAACAACAGGUGAUACAGCUGUGCAGUACUUCCUGAGUACCUGAGGUCACAUACUGACGCUGUGGAAGAAGGAGGCAGUCCUUCUGUCUACACAUCUCUCUCUCACCUCCUCGCAGCUCGGUCCUUUACCCACCCGACUUUAUCAAAUCAAGAUGAAAACGUUAUUUUUGUUGCUUCUCUUCUGUCACGUUUCAUCAGCAGGUAAGAUCACAUUUGAACUCUUUAAGCUCUUUGCUUCACUUUCCACUCGGCUCUGCAUUUGACUGCGAUAACGUGAGCCACAGAGUGCAUUUGGCUCUUGUAGCUCCAGAAAACAGCACUUUAGUUUCACUAUUACUUAAACUUCAUAAGACUGACUUUAUAUGUUUUAAUAGAAUCAUAGGCUGCUGACUGAAUACAUCAGAUUCAUGAUGGGUCUUUACUGAAUGUAUAAAAUUGAGCAUAGCGUUAGUUCAGGCAGGGCACGAAGUUAGGCUUAGCUUUCAGUUACAGCUAUAUCAUUCGAGCACAGCUAGUCAUAAACAUACAUCAGCUGAUUCCUCUAAGCUUCCCAUUGGAUACCAUACACAGUCAGCUGACAGCUCACCUGAUUUCAUCAAGCAUCCAAUUGGCAAACAUCUACAU
rnacentral:lncRNA from 15 species